GGCCUGAUGGUCUAGUAGUAUGAUUCCUUGUUAGGGUGUGCCCUCACACGAUCACUCGAGGAGGUCCCGGGUUCAAUUCCCGGUCAGGCCC